CUGGGAGUAGUUUCUUAACCGCUUUCGGCUGUUGGUCGCAGGGCUACCGGCCUACAGUCCCAGCAAGCGCCGGGCUGCGGGGUGGUGAGCAGUCCCGGAGGGAGGCGCAAGCCGUGUGGACCUCUCUGCUUCCAAACCUAUGCUGGCCACUGAUUCUGUGCCAUCCCUGGCUAAGGGGAGUGAGUCCAGAGAGGGACUUAAGGGGCAAGUCGGGGCUGGGCAGUGAGAAGAGUGUGACGCUGCGAAGUGCACCUCAUCUUUGCCUAAAUCGGGCGGGUCUCAGCCUCACCCCACCUCUCGCUGCUCAGCUCGGUUUCCCUCCAGAGCAUCACGCCUCCUCCAGCACAGGAGCCGCCUGCUUUCCUAGGCUGCUGUGGAACUGGCCUGAGGUCCCAGACGCUGUCCAUUGUGCUGCCGCCCUCCGCGCUCUCCAGCCAGAGCGCCAGUUCACCGGCUUUUGGGAGAACUCCGCCGCCUCACCUGCCCGCGGACAAGGGCUGCACCCCAUGGACCUGGGUUCCUGGAGUCUUUGACGGCUUUGUGUGGUCGACUUGUUUUGAUACUGAGGACACCCCUGCUGGCUGUUAAUUUCAGGGCAAGGGAUAUGAGGCCAUUAUUUUAAGUGAAAUAACUCAAGAAUGGAAAAUAAAAUACUAUUAUUUUUCACUUAUAA
ensembl:lncRNA novel transcript